AUUACAACUCACGAUCCUCCUACAAAUAUCUAUAAUUUUUACCGUUUGCAUUCUCUUUUUACAGGAAUUCAGAGGGAUAAACAGGAUACUGAAGACAAAGAUUUGCUGAUCAUAGUCUUAUUUGAUAAAGACUUCACAAAUAGUGAUUCUAUAGACCCAUUGUGCAAAAGGAUGCAUAGGCUGCAUCCUCAGGGCUUGAUAAACAUAUCUCAUGGUGAAAGACUUGCAAAUAAAAGCUCUGCUCCAAAAUCAUAUACAAAUACGGUGGCCGACAAAACGGCAGGUUCAUGGAGACAAAAUAAUAAUCCGCAGUCUGCAUUUGCCUCUGUGGACUCAAAGGAAGAAUUUUGGAAUGCCAAUUCGGGAUCAAGAUCCUCUGGAGAAAAAUCUAAUGCUGGAUAUUUUCGAAACGAUAUUCGAAAGAAUAAUUUUAUGCAGUCCAGCCCACAGCACUCGGUGGAUAAAUUUUUCAACAAGUCAGACAAAUAUAAUCAUACACCUUUGCAAAAGCAUGUGAAUGAAAAUUCCAGCGCAUCAAAGUCAAAAACUAAUUCUAAUAGUGGGGACUACAGUGCCAUGUGGGAGGAGCUGCAGAAAGCCAAAAAUUCCAAACCGAAAUCGCCACCUCCUGUUGUGGACCCAUCUAAUGCUCUUAAGAAGAUGUUACAAAUAGUGGAGGCUCCCAAUCUUUAUCUAGUUUACGAGUAUGUCAUCAAAUUUUGUUCUAAGUCUUUUUU
rnacentral:lncRNA from 1 species